UGUUGUACCUGUGUCUCUGGCUCUAUUUUCUAGAUGGACUUUAGACCCAUGUUGUAGCUAUGCCUCCAGACUUGUCCUUGGCUCCUCUCCUCUUGCUCCUGGGUGGGCUCUGGACUUGGGUCGUUGCAAGCUGGACCUGGGACUGGUGGUGGAUGCUGUAACCAGCACCUGGCUGUGCUCAGACCUAGUGGGACUCUGCCUGCUGGUGAGGAUGAGAUCUCUGCUGGGGUCAUCUUGGCUGCCCUUCCCUUAGGGAGCAGCUGGCCUGCCCUGCUCCCUGAUGGGCCCAUCGUCUUGUCGCAAGAGAAUGCCAGUAGGUACCGUGAGCAGCAGCAGAAUGUGGGUGCUGAGGCGCAAUAAAUAUCUCCAGGUAAUGAGCACCGCAGUCACUUGCUCCAUGGUGGAAAGGAGCCGCAAAGGCUUUGCUGGACGACUUCAGAGCAUCCAGCGCUGGGUGUUGGUGAUGGAUGAUGAUUUAAAGCCCAUUUUUGCAGGGAAUAACGGCUCAUAACCGUCCCCUCUCCUUUAAGUGUGCGACACCACUGAGAUUUAUGGUCUCCUUGUUUCCACCUUAUGGGAAGUGUUUUAUUAAUCGUCCCUGUGCUUGCUCCUGAACCCAUGUGUGCUGCAGUGUGCAGAUGCUUCAAAUGCAGUGAAGAGGAGGUGGCAGUGCGGGAUGCGGCUCCUGGGGAAAGCAGCCGGAGCAGCAGGGAUGGGUGCUUCCCGAGACCUUUCCAAGGAUCUGAAACCUUCAGCCCUGGCAGGCACCGUCUGCCCACAGGCCGAGGGAGCCUGGCUCAGCCCAGGCUGCUUUGCCGGGGGAUAACCAGGACUGCAAGUCUGUGCCUAGGGCCUGUGCAUCCCUGGGGAGGAGGUGGCGGAUGGAGCUGCCCCAUUGCUGCCUGCACGGUCCCCCUCUGGCACCCCAUGCCGGUGGCUUUAUUCUUACCUAAAUCCCUGCUUGGACACCUGGAAAGGCUCCUGCUCAGGUCAUUAGAGAUGACUGCUUCUAGAAAGGGUCCUUGGGACGCUGCUGCCCUCGGCGUCCCAGCCCGGUCGUAGCCGAGCUGGUGGCACUAAAAACUUUAUGUUCCCUUCACA